AUUAACUUCUCUUUAUUUUUUUUUCUCUUUUCUCUCUUUAUAUAACUCGUUAUCAGCACUGUUGACCUCGGUAAUUGGAUCCUCCACGUGGCCAAUCGAUAGCCACUCCACGUAUUCCUCCAUGCGCACAAUCAACGCACGAUCAGAUAUACACGACCGAGACCAGCGGGGGUGACGACGACCGUAUACGCUCCAACAGUCAAGUUAAACUCAGGUGAUCGGAAUAGUAUCAAGGUUGUGCAAAAUAGUGGGAAAGAGAAUAUAUAUUUGCUUGCCAUGGAGCGCUAAAUAAGAAAAAUUUCAUUAACUUUAUCUCUUGCUAAGCCUUGGGUAUUUAUAGGUGAGAAGAGUCGUUGGAUGUGAGACACGUGUAUACAUCUGAACGAUAUGAGGCGUCUGCUCAUAGGCGUCAAUCAGCCUCGUCUGUAGAGCGGGCGGGUAGUUACUUCUCCCAAGUUGAGUUGACAUAAAGUUGAUAGGUCACAUCAACUAACCUCAUGAAGACGUCAAAUCACUUUAAACCUUAGGGGCAGAAAAGAUUUUGACAAAGAUCUCAUUCUGAAAUCGACAGCGGAUCCUCAGACUGAGGUCCACGAGGAUCAUUUCGCCUUGGCUUCAGGGGGAUAGGGUGCUUCGGCCAGUCAUGCAGAAUUACAUAUGUCUUGUAGUGUGAUAGAAGAUCAUCUCAAUUGGAACCACUUCAUAUAAGCGUUCCAGACCUCGCCUGAUGUGGUGGUGGACUUUUCGAAGUUGAACCACUUCAUAUGAGUGUUCCAUAUCUCACCUGAUGUGGGUUCAGUUAGGGACGUAACAGUGGUCUCCCAAGUCCAG
rnacentral:lncRNA from 1 species